rnacentral:rRNA from 2 species
UGGGGAAUAUUGCACAAUGGGGGAAACCCUGAUGCAGCGACGCCGCGUGAGUGAAGAAGUAUUUCGGUAUGUAAAGCUCUAUCAGCAGGGAAGAAAUUGACGGUACCUGACUAAGAAGCCCCGGCUAACUACGUGCCAGCAGCCGCGGUAAUACGUAGGGGGCAAGCGUUAUCCGGAUUUACUGGGUGUAAAGGGAGCGUAGGUGGCAAAUCAAGUCAGAUGUGAAAGCCCGGGGCUCAACCCCGGGAUUGCAUUUGAAACUGGUUUGCUAGAGUGCAGGAGAGGUAAGUGGAAUUCCUAGUGUAGCGGUGAAAUGCGUAGAUAUUAGGAGGAACACCAGUGGCGAAGGCGGCUUACUGGACUGUAACUGACACUGAGGCUCGAAAGCGUGGGGAGCAAACAGG